rnacentral:rRNA from 1 species
CGUGUAGGCGGCCAGACAGGUCCGUUGUGAAAACUGGAGGCUUAACCUUCAGACGUCGAUGGAAACCGUCUGGCUAGAGUCCGGAAGAGGAGAGUGGAAUUCCUGGUGUAGCGGUGAAAUGCGCAGAUAUCAGGAAGAACACCCGUGGCUAAGGCGGCUCUCUAGUACGGUACUGACGCUGAGACGCGAAAGCGUGGGAGCGAACA